GAAUAUUGCACAAUGGGGGAAACCCUGAUGCAGCCAUGCCGCGUGUGUGAAGAAGGCCUUCGGGUUGUAAAGCACUUUCAGUGGUGAGGAAGGUUGGUAGUUUAAUACGCUACCAAAUUGACGUUAGCCACAGAAAGAGCACCGGCUAACCCCGUGCCGGCAGCGGCGGUAAUACGGAGGGUGCGAGCGUUAAUCGGAAUUACUGGGCGUAAAGCGUACGUAGGCGGCUUAUUAAGCGAGAUGUGAAAGCCCCGGGCUCAACCUGGGAAUUGCAUUUUGAACUGGUAGGCUCGAGUUUUGAAGAGGGUGGUAGAAUUUCCAGUGUAGCGGUGAAAUGCGUAGAUAUUGGAAGGAAUACCAGUGGCGAAGGCGGCCACCUGGUCAAAAACUGACGCUGAGGUACGAAAGCGUGGGGAGCAAACAGGA
rnacentral:rRNA from 1 species